CCUUCAACUCACCAUCCCGUUGAGGUUCUCCUUAUGCGUGAAAACUUAACUCAAUUUGCUAAUGAGGUUGGUAUAAGUUUUGAACUUGAUGUGGUUAACUUUGAUUCCUUGGAAGUUCCUGCAUAAAAGAAGCCCAUUGAGCACUGAAAAUGAGGCUGUUGCGGUGAAUUUUCCUAUUUGGUCCUCCUCGAACCAACCAUCUGCAUUACCCUCUCUGUUGCGCUUUAUAAAGCAGCUUUCCCCAAAGAUUGUUGUGUCUUUGGAUAGAGGAUGUGAUAGAACUGACCUUCCAUUCCCACAACACAUCCUCCAUGCUCUUCAAUCCUAUAUACACCUGUUGGAAUCGCUGGAUGCUGUUAAUGUGGCUUCUGAUGUUGUGAACAAGAUUGAGAAAUUUCUACUCCAGCCAAGGAUUGAGAGUACUGUGUUGGGACGUCUUCGUGCACCAGAGAAAAUGCCCAAUUGGAAGACAAUCUUUGCUUCUGCUGGGUUGUUUUCACCUGUACCUUUCAGCAACUUUACUGAAACUCAAGCAGAGUGUGUGGUCAAGAGGACUCCAGUGAGGGGGUUUCAUGUGGAGAAGCGCCAAGCCUUGCUNAUGUUGGCAGCGCAGAGAGCUGAUCUCAGCUUCCGCUUGGAGUUGCUGAGGAGUGGCAAUUUGACUGGCAGGGGAGGUUGGUUUUCAUCAACCUCAGAUAAACUGUGAGUUGAU
rnacentral:misc_RNA from 1 species